rnacentral:rRNA from 1 species
AUUGAACGCUGGCGGCAUGCCUUACACAUGCAAGUCGAACGGUAACAGGUCUUCGGAUGCUGACGAGUGGCGAACGGGUGAGUAAUACAUCGGAACGUGCCCGAUCGUGGGGGAUAACGAAGCGAAAGCUUUGCUAAUACCGCAUAAGAUCUAAGGAUGAAAGCAGGGGACCGCAAGGCCUUGCGCGAACGGAGCGGCCGAUGGCAGAUUAGGUAGUUGGUGGGAUAAAAGCUUACCAAGCCGACGAUCUGUAGCUGGUCUGAGAGGACGACCAGCCACACUGGGACUGAGACACGGCCCAGACUCCUACGGGAGGCAGCAGUGGGGAAUUUUGGACAAUGGGCGAAAGCCUGAUCCAGCCAUGCCGCGUGCAGGAUGAAGGCCUUCGGGUUGUAAACUGCUUUUGUACGGAACGAAAAGACUCUGGUUAAUACCUGGGGUCCAUGACGGUACCGUAAGAAUAAGCACCGGCUAACUACGUGCCAGCCGCCGCCGUAAUAC